AGAGUUUGAUCAUGGCUCAGGAUGAAUGCUGGCGGCGUGCCUAACACAUGCAAGUCGAGCGGCAGCGAGGGGUGCUUGCACCCCGUCGGCGAGCGGCGAACGGCUGAGUAACGCGUAGGAAUUUGCCCCAAAGUGAGGAAUAACUGCCCGAAAGGGUAGCUAAUGCCGCAUAUGGUCUUCGGAUUAAAGGAUUUAUCCGCUUUGGGAGAAGCCUGCGUUGGAUUAGGUUGUUGGUAGGGUAAUGGCCUACCAAGCCGACGAUCCAUAGCUGGUCUGAGAGGAUGAUCAGCCAGACUGGAACUGAGACACGGUCCAGACUCCUACGGGAGGCAGCAGUGAGGAAUCUUCCACAAUGGGCGAAAGCCUGAUGGAGCAACGCCGCGUGAAGGAUGAAGGCCUUCGGGUUGUAAACUUCUUUUAUGAGUGAAGAAUAUGACGGUAACUCAUGAAUAAGCACCGGCUAACUGCGUGCCAGCAGCCGCGGUCAUACGUAGGGUGCAAGCAUUAUCCGGAGUGACUGGGCGUAAAGAGUUGCGUAGGCGGUUUAAUAAGUGAAUAGUGAAACCUGGUGGCUCAACCAUACAGACUAUUAUUCAAACUGUUAAACUCGAGAAUGGUAGAGGUAACUGGAAUUUCUUGUGUAGGAGUGAAAUCCGUAGAUAUAAUAAGGAACACCAAUGGCGUAGGCAGGUUAUUGGGCCAUUUCUGACGCUAAGGCACGAAAGCGUGGGGAGCGAACCGGAUUAGAUACCCCGGUAGUCCAA
rnacentral:rRNA from 1 species